AGAACGAACGCUGGCGGCGUGCUUAACACAUGCAAGUCGAACGGGUAGUUUCCUUCGGGAAGCGAAAGUGGCGCACGGGUGAGUAACGCGUGGACAACCUGUCCAGAUGUCCGGAACAGCCCUCCGAAAGGGGGAUUAAUACCGGAUGAGCCGCGCAGCCGGAAGGCUGCGCGGGAAAGGUGGCCUCUAUUUAUAAGCUGCCGCAUUUGGAGGGGUCUGCGUGCCAUUAGCUUGUUGGGGAGGUAACGGCUCACCAAGGCGACGAUGGCUAGCGGGUCUGAGAGGAUGAUCCGCCACACUGGCACUGAAACACGGGCCAGACUCCUACGGGAGGCAGCAGUGAGGAAUAUUGCGCAAUGGGGGAAACCCUGACGCAGCGACGCCGCGUGGGUGACGAAGGCCUUCGGGUCGUAAAACCCUGUCGGGAGGAAAGAAAUGCGUCCAAGCCAACACCUUGGGCGUUUGACGGUACCUCCAAAGGAAGCACCGGCUAACUCUGUGCCAGCAGCCGCGGUAAUACAGAGGGUGCAAGCGUUGUUCGGAAUUACUGGGCGUAAAGGGCGUGCAGGCGGCUUGUCAAGUCAGAUGUGAAAGCCCACGGCUCAACUGUGGAAGAGCAUUUGAAACUGGCAGGCUUGAGUACCAGAGGGGAAAGUGGAAUUCCCGGCGUAGAGGUGAAAUUCGUAGAUAUCGGGAGGAAUACCGGGUGGCGAAGGCGACUUUCUGGCUGGAUACUGACGCUGAGACGCGAAAGCGCGGGGAGCAAACAGGAUUAGAUACCCUGGUAGUCCGCGCCGUAAACGAUGUGAACUGGAUGCAGGGGGUGUUGAUCCCCUCUGUGUCGCAGCCAACGCGCUAAGUUCACCGCCUGGGGAGUACGGCCGCAAGGUUAAAACUCAAAGGAAUUGACGGGGGCCCGCACAAGCGGUGGAGUAUGUGGUUUAAUUCGAUGCAACGCGAAGAACCUUACCUGGUCUUGACAUCCCGGGAAUUCCCCUGAAAGGGGGAAGUGCCUCGCAAGAGGAGCUUGGAGACAGGUGCUGCAUGGCUGUCGUCAGCUCGUGUCGUGAGAUGUUGGGUUAAGUCCCGCAACGAGCGCAACCCCCGCCGUCAGUUGCCAGCAUUCAGUUGGGCACUCUGACGGGACCGCCGGCGUCAAGCCGGAGGAAGGCGGGGAUGACGUCAAGUCCUCAUGGCCUUUAUGACCAGGGCUACACACGUACUACAAUGGCCGGUACAGAGGGCUGCGACACCGCGAGGUGAAGCCAAUCCCUAAAAGCCGGUCUCAGUCCGGAUCGGAGCCUGCAACUCGGCUCCGUGAAGUUGGAAUCGCUAGUAAUCGCGGAUCAGCACGCCGCGGUGAAUACGUUCCCGGGCCUUGUACACACCGCCCGUCACACCACGGGAGUCGAUUGCACCAGAAGCAGCUGGGCGAACCUUCGGGACGCAGGCUGCCAAGGUAUGGUCGGUGACUGGGGUG
rnacentral:rRNA from 1 species